AGCCAUUUUAUUUCUGUUGAUCUUGUUCUAUUUUCUAUGGUUGAGUAGGUUCUAACUCUUGCUGAUAUUUGGUUAUUUUGUGGGAAUAUGACGACGACAGCGAUGCAGAGGAGGCCAGGCGACGAGCCAAUGCAGAUGAAAGGAGGCAACAUCAAUGGAUCGAGGACGCACAAGAGGAUGCAGAGGAGUUUGCACCUACGAUGGCCUCUCGAUGCUGCAAGAUAAGUAGGAGGCAGGACGACGCUGUGAUAGUGUCCACAAUAGUCAGGUGCAUUGGAAUACUUUCCAUGAAUACAAGGACAGUCCCCCGUUUUUGUACUGAAGAGCAUCGGUUUGGUUGUAUUGGAUUGGACUACUAUCAUUGGUUUGCCAUUUGAAUAGGAACACAACAUGUGACCAGCAUGACACCUGUAUUCCAUCUCUCACCCAUCCCUUAAGCUGCAGCUAAGAAUUUUUGUUGACUGAUUUGCAACCUGCAGAGGCUGCACUUUCCCACGGAAGAAGUUUUAGAUUAGAAAAGUUAGUUUGUUUAUCUUUUAGGCUAACCUGAGUGCAUUUUUCUACAGGUAACCUGAGUGUAAAUUGUACUGCUGUUUCAGUUGCAUAUUAGAUUCACAAUGCUGCUAUAUGCCAGGAUAAGUGGAUAACGAACCUUAAUAUGUUAGAUCUGAAAUCAUUAGUUGAUCUUAUUCAGAAUGAAGUGAGCUCAAAUUUAUUGCUCGAUAUUAAGGUAAUAAUAUUUUUUUGAUCUUAUUUAGUUGGUUCUGUUGUUAUGUCGAACUAAAGUCAAUUACUGUAACAAAACUAAAGUCGAAUAUUGUUGUUCAUAAAUAUGGAAUCCAUG